rnacentral:rRNA from 1 species
CGGACGGGUGAGUAACGCGUGAGAAUCUAGCUUCAGGUCGGGGACAACCACGGGAAACUGUGGCUAAUACCGGAUAUGCCGAGAGGUGAAAGGCUUGCUGCCUGAAGAUGAGCUCGCGUCUGAUUAGCUAGUAGGUGUGGUAAAAGCGCACCUAGGCGACGAUCAGUAGCUGGUCUGAGAGGAUGAUCAGCCACACUGGGACUGAGACACGGCCCAGACUCCUACGGGAGGCAGCAGUGGGGAAUUUUCCGCAAUGGGCGAAAGCCUGACGGAGCAAUACCGCGUGAGGGAGGAAGGCUCUUGGGUUGUAAACCUCUUUUCUCAGGGAAGAAAAAAAUGACGGUACCUGAGGAAUAAGCAUCGGCUAACUCCGUGCCAGCAGCCGCGGUAAUACGGAGGAUGCUAGCGUUAUCCGGAAUGAUUGGGCGUAAAGGGUCCGCAGGUGGCUAUGUAAGUCUGCUGUUAAAGAACCUAGCUUAACUAGGUAAAAGCAGUGGAAACUACAAGGCUAGAGUGCGUUCGGGGUAGAGGGAAUUCCUGGUGUAGCGGUGAAAUGCGUAGAUAUCAGGAAGAACACCAGUGGCGAAGGCGCUCUACUAGGCCGCAACUGACACUGAGGGACGAAAGCUAGGGGAGCGAAUGGGAUUAGAUACCCCAGUAGUC